GAUGAACGCUGGCGGCAUGCCUAACACAUGCAAGUCGAUCGGUAAGGCUCUUCGGAGUUCACGAGAGGCGGAGGGCUGAGUAACGCGUAGGAACACACCCCGCAGUCAGGGAUAAGACACCGAAAGAUGUUCUAAUACCGCAUACGGUCUUCGGAUUAAAGCAUUUAUGCGCGGAAGGAGUGGCCUGCGUCAUAUUAGAUGGUUGGUGAGGUAAUGGCUCACCAAGUCGAGGAGGUGUAGCUGGUCUGAGAGGAUGAUCAGCCAGACUGGAACUGAGACACAGUCCAGAAUCCUACGGGAGGGAGCAGUGAGGAAUAUUUCACAAUGAGCGAAAGCUCGAUGGAGCAAUGCCGCGUGCAGGAUGAAGGCGGUCGGGUUGUAAACUGCUUUUAUAAGAGAAGAUUAUGACGGUAACCUAUGAAUAAGCGACGGCUAACUACGUG
rnacentral:rRNA from 1 species